CUAGUAUGAUGAGUGAAAAUGGUGACAUGUUGCUAUCUAGGUGGGAAAAACACUUGGCAGAUGAGGGAAAUAUUGAAAAAAAGUCUGAUCUUGAGAUGUACUUGAUGGAUGAUGUGGUGCAGACAAGUUUAUUUAAUCAUUAGAAUGGUUCUUUGUUUGAGGAUUCUAAUGAUAAUAUUAGAGGUGAUACUAGUAUGAUGAGUGAAAAUGGUGACCUGUUGCUAUCUAGGUUGGAAAAACACUUGGCAGAUGAGGGAAAUAUUGAAAAAAAGUCUAAUCUUGAGAUAUACUUGAUGGAUGAUGUGGUGCAGACAAAGGAUUUUAAUAUCUUGAGUUGGUGGAAAGCUUCAUCUAUUAAAUAUCCAGUUGUUUCAAAAAUUGCAAGGGAUGUUCUUUCUAUUCCUAUUUCUACUGUUGCGUCUGAGUCGGCUUUUAGUACAGGUGGUCGAAUUCUUGAUUCAUAUCGGAGUUCUUUAUCACCAAAAA
rnacentral:lncRNA from 1 species